UGAGGAAUAUUGGUCAAUGGGCGAGAGCCUGAACCAGCCAAGUAGCGUGCAGGAUGACGGCCCUAUGGGUUGUAAACUGCUUUUAUGUGGGGAUAAAGUGCGUGACGUGUCAUGCAUUGCAGGUACCACAUGAAUAAGGACCGGCUAAUUCCGUGCCAGCAGCCGCGGUAAUACGGAAGGUCCGGGCGUUAUCCGGAUUUAUUGGGUUUAAAGGGAGCGUAGGCUGUCUAUUAAGCGUGUUGUGAAAUUUACCGGCUCAACCGGUGGCUUGCAGCGCGAACUGGUCGACUUGAGUAUGCAGGAAGUAGGCGGAAUUCAUGGGGUAGCGGUGAAAUGCUUAGAUAUCAUGACGAACUCCGAUUGCGCAGGCAGCUUACUGUAGCAUAACUGACGCUGAUGCUCGAAAGUGCGGGUAUCAAACAGG
rnacentral:rRNA from 1 species